AAAUGUAAUUAGAAAAAUUUUAAAAAAUUUUAAAAUACACCUUUUAUUCUUUAUUCUCCAAAACAUCCACAACACUCAAAUUCCUCCAUUAACAACCUCAAAUCCAUUCUUCAUUAACACUCUUCUUCAAUUUUUUUUUCCUCUAUUAACACCAUCAAAAAACAACCACAAAACACUAAAUAAAAAAUAAAACUCUCUAUUAAACACCUUUUAUUCUUUAUUCUCCAAAACAUCUACAACACUCAAAUUCCUCCAUUAACAACCUCAUAUUCAUUCUUCAUUAACACUCUUCUUCAAUUUUUUUUAUUUUCCUCCAUUAACACCAUCAAAGAACAACCACAAAACACUAAAUAAAAAAUAAAACUCUCUAUUAAACACCUUUUAUUCUUUAUUCUCCAAAACAUCUACAACACUCAAAUUCCUCCAUUAACAACCUCAACUUCAUUCUUUAUUAACACUCUCCUUCAAUUUUUUCAUUUUCCUACAUUAACACCACCAAAGAACAACCACAAAUACACUAAAUUAAAAAAGAAAAAUCAUCAAACACCAUUUUUGUGGUUGAAAAAAAUGGAGGUAUUUUUGUGUUAACAAGAAAGGAG
rnacentral:lncRNA from 1 species